CUUGUUGCCAAAUCUUCCUUUCCAACCCAGUUAUAACCCAAGGAUAUCCAAGUAACAUGUAUAUACAACAUUCUGCUAUUGCUUGUGGCACAGGUACAGAGCAAUAAACAACCAUGGAUGACCUCUAGCCCUCUGCUCUCGUGCAUACAGCAACAAAUUACCAUAAUACCCUUUGUCCAGAUUAAAUUAUUGGACUUUCAGCUCUUUCCAUAUCCAA
rnacentral:misc_RNA from 1 species